AUUUUAACUGCCUUAUUUAGGAGCAUCUUACUAUUAUGAAAUAUUGAGAGAAUAAUAUUUUUACUAUGAAAAUGAAAUUUCUACGGAUAUGUCCUGGAACUGGUACAAGUGUCUAUGAAAUUUAAAUAAUGUCAAUUAUUUGCAUAAGAUGUAAAUUCCGAAAUUAUUGUUUGCUUUUAUUAUUGCGAUUUUGUCAUUUUAGACUAAAAUGCAAUUUUAAUUUUUUGCGAUAUUGAAAAAAAUCCUGUAUAAUUUAUGUAGA
rnacentral:lncRNA from 1 species